GUGCUUGCUUCGGCGGCCACGAUACUAAAAUUGGAACAAUACAGAGAAGGUGAGCAUGGCCCCUGCGGAAGGAUGACAUGCAAGUUCGUGAAACACUCCAUGUUGUU
ensembl:snRNA U6 U6 spliceosomal RNA